GCAGCCGCCGCGGGAAUACAGAGGAUGCAAGCGUUAAUCGGAAUUACUGGGCGUAAAGCGUGCGCAGGCGGUUCGUUAAGACAGAUGUGAAAUCCCCGGGCUUAACCUGGGAACUGCAUUUGUGACUGGCAAGCUAGAGUAUGGCAGAGGGGGGUGGAAUUCCGCGUGUAGCAGUGAAAUGCGUAGAUAUGCGGAGGAGCACCGAUGGCGAAGGCAGCCCCCUGGGCCAAUACUGACGCUCAUGCACGAAAGCGUGGGGAGCAAACAGGAUUAGAUACCCGAGUAGUCCCUGUCUCUUAUAC
rnacentral:rRNA from 1 species